AUUGAACGCUGGCGGCAGGCUUAACACAUGCAAGUCGAGCGGGGAAAGGUAGCUUGCUACCUGACCUAGCGGCGGACGGGUGAGUAAUGCUUAGGAAUCUGCCUAUUAGUGGGGGACAACAUCUCGAGAGGGAUGCUAAUACCGCAUACGUCCUACGGGAGAAAGCAGGGGACCUUCGGGCCUUGCGCUAAUAGAUGAGCCUAAGUCGGAUUAGCUAGUUGGUGGGGUAAAGGCCUACCAAGGCGACGAUCUGUAGCGGGUCUGAGAGGAUGAUCCGCCACACUGGGACUGAGACACGGCCCAGACUCCUACGGGAGGCAGCAGUGGGGAAUAUUGGACAAUGGGGGGAACCCUGAUCCAGCCAUGCCGCGUGUGUGAAGAAGGCCUUUUGGUUGUAAAGCACUUUAAGCGAGGAGGAGGCUACCGAGAUUAAUACUCUUGGAUAGUGGACGUUACUCGCAGAAUAAGCACCGACUAACUCUGUG
rnacentral:rRNA from 1 species